rnacentral:lncRNA from 1 species
UCUAAAUCAAAUGCUCAAACAUGAAACCUCUCCCUAUGCAACUUUUUGUCAUGUUUACUAAAAUCCUAAUAACAUGCAUGACAUAAGUGUCUUUCUCCUUCGCCUUGAUCUUCCCUUUAGCAUGAUAAAUGUUGUUUUGUUCAUGCUAUGCACCUCAGUUUGCUUUGAGAGGAAUAAAGUUUUGGUUCACAAGUACAUUUGUACUAGUAGAACCUUGUCGCUUGUGCUUUCUAUGUCUUCAAAUAAGCACAGGUAAUGAAUGAACUGGCAUGUGCAUUGGGCAACCCAACCUCUAUUCAUGCAACCAUGAACACUGCAAACCACGACACUGCAAGGAGGUAAAUUUCGUUUCUUUAAUCCACUUAGUAUAGGCUACACCUGCAAAUUUCCAUUCCAAAUUUACUUUUUUAGGUGAUAGGUUGCAUCUUUUCAUUUCAAUAAAAGUGCUCAUAGAAGUACCAUGCAUUU